rnacentral:rRNA from 1 species
UGAACGCUGGCGGCGUGCCUAAUACAUGCAAGUCGAGCGAACAGACGAGGAGCUUGCUCCUCUGACGUUAGCGGCGGACGGGUGAGUAACACGUGGAUAACCUACCUAUAAGACUGGGAUAACUUCGGGAAACCGGAGCUAAUACCGGAUAAUAUAUUGAACCGCAUGGUUCAAUAGUGAAAGACGGUUUUGCUGUCACUUAUAGAUGGAUCCGCGCCGCAUUAGCUAGUUGGUAAGGUAACGGCUUACCAAGGCAACGAUGCGUAGCCGACCUGAGAGGGUGAUCGGCCACACUGGAACUGAGACACGGUCCAGACUCCUACGGGAGGCAGCAGUAGGGAAUCUUCCGCAAUGGGCGAAAGCCUGACGGAGCAACGCCGCGUGAGUGAUGAAGGUCUUCUGAUCGUAAAACUCUGUUAUUAGGGAAGAACAAAUGUGUAAGUAACUAUGCACGUCUUGACGGUACCUAAUCAGAAAGCCACGGCUAACUACGUG